UGCCAGCCGCCGCGGUAAUACGAAGGGAACUAGCGUUGUUCGGAUUUACUGGGCGUAAAGAGCAUGUAGGCGGAUUGGUCAGUUGGAGGUGAAAUCCCAGAGCUCAACUCUGGAGCUGCCUUCAAUACUGCCAAUCUAGAAUCUGUAAGGGGGUGGUGGAAUUCCGAGUGUAGAGGUGAAAUUCGUAGAUAUUCGGAGGAACACCAGUGGCGAAGGCGACCACCUGGUACAGUAUUGACGCUGAGAUGCGAAAGCGUGGGGAGCAAACAGGAUUAGAUA
rnacentral:rRNA from 1 species